UACGAGGGGGGCAAGCGUUGUUCGGAAUUAUUGGGCGUAAAGGGCGCGUAGGCGGUGCGGUAAGUCUGAUGUGAAAUCUCCGGGCUCAACUCGGAGUCUGCAUCAGAAACUGCCGUGCUUGAGUGUGGGAGGGGUGAGUGGAAUUCCCGGUGUAGCGGUGAAAUGCGCAGAUAUCGGGAAGAACACCCGUGGCGAAGGCGGCUCUCUGGGACGGUACUGACGCUGAGACGCGAAAGCGUGGGGAGCGAACAGG
rnacentral:rRNA from 1 species